rnacentral:tRNA from 1 species
AUUCAAUUAGUUUAUAAAAAUAUUAAGCUGUGGAUUUAAAGAUAUAAAAAUAUAUUUAUAUUGAAUA